CGGUCGCCGUCGCCCACGAUCUCAAUGGAGGCAGAGACUCAGGACGACGUGGGAAUUCAAAUGUAUACAUCAACACUCAUCCGUCUUCCAAUUCCCAGUUCACACGAAAAUAGGAAACAAAUAAAGAAAGAAGAGCAGCGCAGAAUCAAACCAAAAAGGAGGAGAAAAUUCUUAUCAAAUCGGCUUAGGUCAGACUUGAUAAUUAUCAUUGGCUGCGGUAGUUAGAGGUUGUGGAAAGUGUGGACUAUAGUAUUUGGCUGAGCCUAUUGAUGCAUGCUCGACAUUGACUAAUGAAGCCAGACAUGGCAAGAAUUAUAGCUCCCCUUUUGUGUUGAUUAUAAGAGGAGGGUGCAGUUUUGACUUCUGAGGAUAAAGUUAGAAGAGCUCAAAAGCUUGGGUUCAAAGCUGCAAUUUUUUACGACAAAGAAGAGAGCGGCGUCUUUGUUUCAAAAAGAGAACUCAUAGAGGUAGAACUGAAAGCAGAUCGAUAAGGACCUGUUGAUCCAUAUUCAAGCAUGUAUAUAUGAAUGGCAGAUUGGACACUAGAUAUAAAAUUAUGAUCAACAAGCAAAACUGAAAGCACUACUUGAGCCAAACAAAACCCAAAUAUAAAUGAAUGUAAUAAACUGAACGAAACUGAAAGAACCAAAAUUCUGAACCUAACUAUAGUUGCUUCGAUAUAAAAUCAAUUACCCAAGGGUGAUAGCGAACUUCCGAGCAUACUACUGAAAAAUUCAAACACCCAAGGGAAACAAAAACCAAGUGGAUUUGAAAAUCAAUGGAAAACGA